ensembl:lncRNA LINC01727 long intergenic non-protein coding RNA 1727
AUCAUCUUGUGAGCAUCUGGGCCAAGUUCAGGGCUGGUGCUCUCGUUCAGAUAGAUUUAGCUGGUGGUGCAGAGAUCCGUGAGCUUGCUUUUACAGGACUUUAAUGAUAUAUAAAAGCAGCACGAGGUGCUCCUGACUGUGGAUUAAUUUGGAGAUGACUUUCUCUGUUGAAGAGUAGCAAGACUCUCGCGAGUUCUUAAAAAUGCACUUGUUUGGUAUGAGAAUGAAAAGCAGUGGCUGAAGAACCAAUCUUCAAUGGGCAAGCCUUCUCUGUGUCUGUUCUAACACGUGCCAUUUGGGAUCCCUUGGAAUCUUCAUGUACAGAACUGGUUGCUGCCUCGUUGAGUCGGUGGGGACAGAAUAGCUCCUGGUUGACAGCAUGGGUUGUGCAGAAGGACGGAUCCUGCAGACAUCAAUAUCUGGCUUUGAGUGGCACAAAGAAAUAAAGGAAUGUGGAUUCAGACCUCACUGGGAUGCUUGGCAAUUCUAAUUCUACCCCAGACUGCAAAUGGACACACAACUGUUGUGACUUUUGUUGAAGAGGAGAAGGAUGGCACAGAAGCUGGAUUCAGAAGCACACAGGUCUGGGGAUGCAGGCUUCGGCCAGCCUGAUGCAAGGAAAGACUGCCAUCUCGUGGUCAGCUCAAUCCUGGCACCUUGGUGAGGGACCAGGCUGCAGAAAACCAGGCUUGGGGAGGAAACGGUGCUGCAAACUGGAUUUCUGCCGGACAGUGUGGAUGCCCUUAGAAAACACCCAGAAAAGAGCUGAGUGCCCCCCAAGGUAGGCUUCAGUGAAUCCUCUGCAGGUGUGUUGUCAUCCCUUGAGCCAAACACAUGCUUCACACACACGCUGCAGGCUGCGUGAAAAUGAGGUAGAAAUGUGGGGAAAACAUAAUCCCAUGGAGAGAACAAAGAGCUGAACACGUAAAUGCCUCCGGCGUGCCUGGCAGAGAGAACACUCAGGCUGAGAGAAGGGACAGUGACUUGUACCAAAGGUAGGCAAGUAGCCUCUGGGGUCUCAAUCAGCAGGGCAUCUGGUCAACCCUUCAGACAAAGUCAGGUCUGAGCAGGCAAGAUCCAUGGAUCUGAUUUAUUAAUAUUUUUACAAUUAAAUAGAAUCUGAUUGUAAAACUGUUACAUGUGUUGUAAGAAAAAAAGAAAAAAAGGAAGGAUAUAGAAAUGUACAAAGAAGGAAAUAAAAGACUGGAAGCGUCCUCA